rnacentral:tRNA from 2 species
GCGGAAGUGGCGGAAUCGGCAGACGCGCAGGAUUUAGGAUCCUGUGCCUUCGGGCGUGGGGGUUCAAAUCCCCCCUUCCGCACCA